rnacentral:rRNA from 1 species
GAUGAACGCUGGCGGCGUGCCUAAUACAUGCAAGUCGAGCGAACGGACGAGAAGCUUGCUUCUCUGAUGUUAGCGGCGGACGGGUGAGUAACACGUGGAUAACCUACCUAUAAGACUGGGAUAACUUCGGGAAACUGGAGCUAAUACCGGAUAAUAUUUUGAACCGCAUGGAUCAAAAGUGAAAGACGGGCUUGCCGCUACUUAUAGAUGGUUCCGCGCUGCAUUAGCUAGUUGGUAAGGUAACGGCUUACCAAGGCAACGAUGCAUCGCCGACCUGAGAGGGUGAUCGGCCACACUGGAACUGAGACACGGUCCAGACUCCUACGGGAGGCAGCAGUGGGGAAUCUUCGGCAAUGGGCGAAAGCCUGACGGAGCAACGCCGCGUGAGUGAUGAAGGUCUUCGGAUCGUAAAACUCUGUUAUUAGGGAAGAACAUAUGUGUAAGUAACUGUGCACAUCUUGACGGUACCUAAUCAGAAAGCCACGGCUAACUACGUG